GACAUAGGUGGCAAACGUUAUCCGGAAUUAUUGGGCGUAAAGGGCUCGUAGGCGGUUUGUCGCGUCGGGAGUGAAAAUCCAGGGCUUAACUCUGGACUGGCUUUCGAUACGGGCAGACUAGAGGUAUGCAGGGGAGAACGGAAUUCCUGGUGUAGCGGUGAAAUGCGCAGAUAUCAGGAGGAACACCGGUGGCGAAGGCGGUCUCUGGGCAUUACCUGACGCUGAGGAGCGAAAGUGUGGGGAGCGAACAGG
rnacentral:rRNA from 1 species